rnacentral:rRNA from 1 species
UACGGAGGGUGCAAGCAUUAAUCGGAAUUAUUGGGCGUAAAGGGCGCGUAGGCGGAUUUAUAAGUCAGAUGUGAAAUUCCAGGACUCAAUUUUGGAGCUGCAUUUGAAACUGUAAGUCUAAGAGGGUAGACGGAGAAAACGGAAUUCCACAUGUAGCGGUGAAAUGCGUGGAUAUGUGGAAGAACACCGGUGGCGAAAGCGGUUUUCUAGUUUAUACCUGACGCUGAGGCGCGAGAGCAAGGGGAGCAAACAGG